rnacentral:tRNA from 1 species
CAGGGAGACCUGCUUCGUCUUGACCGAAACCGAAAAAAUAGGUCAGAUGCAAGUUAUCCCAGGUCGGACGAGAAUUAGUGUAGGCUUUCAAACUAUCGAUGGGUUUCGGAACAUGGGCUAUUAGCUCAGGUGGUUAGAGCGCACCCCUGAUAAGGGUGAGGUCCCUGGUUCGAGUCCAGGAUGGCCCACCUCUGCCGACUUUGCUGCCCAUAAAAGUUGUGGGUUUUUGCCAAGUGGGGAGAAAAAAAACACCUCAUGACAAUCUUAGUGUUCGCAGAUAAUGUGAUAGCCUAGAUAAAGUGAGUAAAAGAGUACAGCAACUGCACCAAUCAAAAAGUGGUCAGCCUGCUGGAUGUCUUAACCAGCCAGAACCUUGAAAACUGCAUAGCAACGUUAAAAACAAAGUCAGUUCUAAAUAGCUCUUUGAAAAGAAGUGCAACUUAGAACUCUCAGGUGAAGACCAAAUGUUUG